rnacentral:rRNA from 1 species
GACGAACGCUGGCGGCGUGCUUAACACAUGCAAGUCGAACGGAAAGGCCCUGCUUUUGUGGGGUGCUCGAGUGGCGAACGGGUGAGUAACACGUGAGUAACCUGCCCUUGACUUUGGGAUAACUUCAGGAAACUGGGGCUAAUACCGGAUAGGAGCUCCUGCUGCAUGGUGGUGGUUGGAAAGUUUCGGCGGUUGGGGAUGGACUCGCGGCUUAUCAGCUUGUUGGUGGGGUAGUGGCUUACCAAGGCUUUGACGGGUAGCCGGCAUGGGAGGGUGACCGGGCACAUUGGGACUGAGAUACGGCCCAGACUCCUACGGGAGGCAGCAGUGGGGAAUAUUGCACAAUGGGCGGAAGCCUGAUGCAGCAACGCCGCGUGCGGGAUGACGGCCUUCGGGUUGUAAAACGAUUUCGCCUGUGACGAAGCGUGAGUGACGGUAAUGGGUAAAGAAGCACCGGCUAACUACGUG